rnacentral:tRNA from 1 species
AGGGUAGUCGUAUAACGGUUAGUAUAGAGGACUGUGGAUCCUUUGAUGGGGGUUCAAUUCCCCCCUACCCUCCCA